GACGAACGCUGGCGGCGUGCUUAACACAUGCAAGUCGAACGAUGAACUUGGAGCUUGCUCUGGGGGAUUAGUGGCGAACGGGUGAGUAACACGUGAGUAACCUGCCCUGGACUCUGGGAUAACUUCGAGAAAUCGGAGCUAAUACCGGAUAGGACCUUGCCCCGCAGGGUGUGGGGUGGAAAGUUUUUCGGUUUGGGAUGGACUCGAGGCCUAUCAGCUUGUUGGUGAGGUAAUGGCUGACCAAGGCGUCGACGGGUAGCCGGCCUGAGAGGGUGACCGGCCACACUGGGACUGAGACACGGCCCAGACUCCUACGGGAGGCAGCAGUGGGGAAUAUUGCACAAUGGGCGCAAGCCUGAUGCAGCAACGCCGCGUGCGGGAUGACGGCCUUCGGGUUGUAAACCGCUUUUAGUAGGGAAGAAGCCUUCGGGUGACGGUACCUGCAGAAAAAGGACCUGCUAACUACGUGCCAGCCGCCGCCGUAAAAC
rnacentral:rRNA from 1 species